GAGCGAACAGACGAGGAGCUUGCUCCUCUGACGUUAGCGGCGGACGGGUGAGUAACACGUGGAUAACCUACCGAAAAGACUGGGAUAACUUCGGGAAACCGGAGCUAAUACCGGAUAAUAUAUUGAACCGCAUGAAUCAAUAGUGAAAGACGGAAUUGCUGUCACUUAUAGAUGGAUCCGCGCCGCAUUAGCUAGUUGGUAAGGUAACGGCUUACCAAGGCAACGAUGCGUAGCCGACCUGAGAGGGUGAUCGGCCACACUGGAACUGAGACACGGUCCAGACUCCUACGGGAGGCAGAAGUAGGGAAUCUUCCGCAAUGGGCGAAAGCCUGACGGAGCAACGCCGCGUGAGUGAUGAAGGUCUUCGGAUCGUAAAACUCUGUUAUUAGGGAAGA
rnacentral:rRNA from 1 species